rnacentral:rRNA from 1 species
CACGGGGAGGUAGUGACGAAAAAUAACGAUACGGGACUCAUCCGAGGCCCCGUAAUCGGAAUGAGUACACUCUAAAUCCUUUACUAAGGAUCAAUUGGAGGGCAAGUCUGGUGCCAGCAGCCGCGGUAAUUCCAGCUCCAAUAGCGUAUAUUAAAGUUGUUGCGGUUAAAAAGCUCGUAGUCGAAUUUGUGUCCCGCGCCGCUGGUUCAUCGCUCGCGGUGUCCAACUGGCGUGUUACGCGGGACGUCCUGCCGGUGGGCUCUCGCAAUCGUUUCGGCGGUUCGUGGCCCAACUCGUGUCCGUCUCGUGCGGGUGCGAAUCCCAUCGCGGUGCUCUUUAUUGAGUGUCGAGGUGGGCCGGCACGUUUACUUUGAACAAAUUAGAGUGCUUAAAGCAGGCCACUUUUGCCUGAAUAUUCUGUGCAUGGAAUAAUGGAAUAGGACCUCGGUUCUAUUUUGUUGGUUUUCGGAACCCCGAGGUAAUGAUUAAUAGAAACGGAUGGGGGCAUUCGUAUUGCGACGUUAGAGGUGAAAUUCUUGGAUCGUCGCAAGACGGACAGAAGCGAAAGCAUUUGCCAAAAACGCUUUCAUUGAUCAAGAACGAAAGUUAGAGGUUCGAAGGCGAUCAGAUACCGCCCUAGUUCUAACCAUAAACGAUGCCAGCUAGCAAUCCGCCGACGUUCCUCCGAUGACUCGGCGGGCAGCUUCCGGGAAACCAAAGCUUUUGGGUUCCGGGGGAAGUAUGGUUGCAAAGCUGAAACUUAAAGGAAUUGACGGAAGGGCACCACCAGGAGUGGAGCCUGCGGCUUAAUUUGACUCAACACGGGAAACCUCACCAGGCCC